rnacentral:rRNA from 1 species
AGGACGAACGCUGGCGGCGCGCUUAACACAUGCAAGUCGAGCGAGAACCUGGGCUUCGGGCCUCGUGCCCGAAAACCAGGGGACAGCGGCGAACGGGUGAGUAACACGUGGGUAAUCUGCCCUUGACAUCGGGAUAGCCCGGGGAAACCCGGAUUAAUACCGAAUAGCCUCCGGAGUCCUCGGACGCCGGAGAAAAGGUAGCUUCGGCCUCUGGUCAAGGAUGAGCCCGCGGCGGAUUAGCUAGUUGGCGGGGUAACGGCCACCAAGGCGACGAUCCGUAGCUGGUCUGAGAGGACGAUCAGCCACACUGGGACUGAGACACGGCCCAGACUCCUACGGGAGGCAGCAGUGGGGAAUCUUGCGCAAAUGCGGGAAACCGUGACGCAGCGACGCCGCGUGGGGGAAGAAGGCCUUCGGGUUGUAAACCUCUUUCGCCAGGGACGAAGAGAAAUUGACGGUACCUGGAUAAGAAGCACCGGCCAACUACGUGCCAGCAGCCGC